AACGAACGCUGGCGGCAGGCUUAACACAUGCAAGUCGAACGCGAAAUCACCUUCGGGUGGUGGAGAGUGGCAGACGGGUGAGUAACGCGUGGGAAUCUACCUGAUGGUACGGAAUAACUCAGGGAAACUUGAGCUAAUACCGUAUGUGCCCGAGAGGGGAAAGAUUUAUCGCCAUCAGAUGAGCCCGCGUCGGAUUAGCUAGUUGGUGGGGUAAAAGCCCACCAAGGCGACGAUCCGUAGCUGGUCUGAGAGGAUGAUCAGCCACACUGGGACUGAGACACGGCCCAGACUCCUACGGGAGGCAGCAGUGGGGAAUAUUGGACAAUGGGCGCAAGCCUGAUCCAGCCAUGCCGCGUGAGUGAUGAAGGCCCUAGGGUUGUAAAGCUCUUUCGACGGGGACGAUAAUGACGGUACCCGUAGAAGAAGCCCGGCUAACUCGUGCCAGCAGCCGCGGUAAU
rnacentral:rRNA from 1 species